rfam:Mesocricetus auratus contig004672, whole genome shotgun sequence.
GGUACCUAUAGCUCUGACCACCCACCCGACCCAAACAUGGACAGGAUUGACAGAUUGAUAGCUCUUUCUCGAUUCCGUGGGUGGUGGUGCAUGGCCGUUCUUAGUUGGUGGAGCGAUUUGUCUGGUUAAUUCCGAUAACGAACGAGACUCUGGCAUGCUAGUUACGCAAGCCCCGAGUGGUCGGUGUCCCCCAACUUCUUAGAGGGACAAGUGGCGUUCAGCUACCCGAGAUAACAAUAACAGGCCUGUGAUGCCCUUAGAUGUCCAGGGCUGCACGCGCGCUACACUGACUGGCUCAGCAUGUGCCUACCCUAUGCCGGCAGGCAUGGGUAACCCGCUGAACUCCAUUCGUGAUGGGGAACAGGGAUUGCAAUUAUUCUCCAUGAACGAAGA